rnacentral:ncRNA from 1 species
CGACCUCAAAUCAGGUAGGAAUACCCGCUGAACUUAAGCAUAUCAAUAAGCGGAGGAAAAGAAACCAACAGGGAUUGCCUCAGUAGCGGCGAGUGAAGCGGCAAGAGCUCAGAUUUGAAAUCGUGCCUUGCGGCACGAGUUGUAGAUUGCAGGUUGGAGUCUGUGUGGAAGGCGGUGUCCAAGUCCCUUGGAACAGGGCGCCCAGGAGGGUGAGAGCCCCGUGGGAUGCCGGCGGAAGCAGUGAGGCCCUUCUGACGAGUCGAGUUGUUUGGGAAUGCAGCUCCAAGCG